UACGUAGGGUGCGAGCGUUGUCCGGAAUUAUUGGGCGUAAAGAGCUUGUAGGCGGUUUGUCGCGUCUGCCGUGAAAAUCCGGGGCUCAACCCCGGACUUGCGGUGGGUACGGGCAGACUAGAGUGUGGUAGGGGAGACUGGAAUUCCUGGUGUAGCGGUGGAAUGCGCAGAUAUCAGGAGGAACACCAAUGGCGAAGGCAGGUCUCUGGGCCACAACUGACGCUGAGGAGCGAAAGCGUGGGGAGCGAACAGG
rnacentral:rRNA from 1 species